AAUCAACGCUGGCGGCGUGCCUCAGACAUGCAAGUUGAACGAUUAAAGCUCUCUUCGGAGAGUGCAUAAAGUGGCGCACGGGUGAGUAACACGUAAGUAAUCUACCCUCGAGGUGGGGAAUAACGUCCGGAAACGGACGCUAAUACCGCAUAACGCAGCGGCACCGCAAGGUGACAGUUGUUAAAGGAGAAAUCCGCUUGAGGAGGAGCUUGCGGCAGAUUAGCUUGNGGUAAGGUAACGG
rnacentral:rRNA from 1 species